UGGGGAAUAUUGCACAAUGGGCGCAAGCCUGAUGCAGCCAUGCCGCGUGUAUGAAGAAGGCCUUCGGGUUGUAAAGUACUUUCAGCGGGGAGGAAGGCGAUAAGGUUAAUAACCUUGUCGAUUGACGUUACCCGCAGAAGAAGCACCGGCUAACUCCGUGCCAGCAGCCGCGGUAAUACGGAGGGUGCAAGCGUUAGUCGGAAUUACUGGGCGUAAAGCGCACGCAGGCGGUCUGUCAAGUCGGAUGUGAAAUCCCCGGGCUCAACCUGGGAACUGCAUUCGAAACUGGCAGGCUAGAGUCUUGUAGAGGGGGGUAGAAUUCCAGGUGUAGCGGUGAAAUGCGUAGAGAUCUGGAGGAAUACCGGUGGCGAAGGCGGCCCCCUGGACAAAGACUGACGCUCAGGUGCGAAAGCGUGGGGAGCAAACA
rnacentral:rRNA from 1 species